AUUGCGGAUGCGAAGCUUCCCGACAUGCAGGCGGGCUGGGAACAGGCGACGUCGAACGUGAUGGCGGGUCUCUCGGGGCUGAACAUGGUCUAUGAGGCGG
rfam:Roseovarius mucosus DSM 17069 Contig289, whole genome shotgun sequence.